AUGGAAGAUGGCGCAUCUUCGGGUGCGGCAGAGAUGGUUCUGGCAGCAAUGAUGGAAGAGCUUGGCUUGAGGGAAGACGAUAUGCAAGAUGUAGUGGUGGAGGACGAUGAACUUCCGGUAGAGGCGACUCGUUGGAUGGCCCUGGCUAGGGUUCACACUGAGAAGCCUUAUAGCCAGUACUGGUUCUACAAGAACAUGAGGGUUGCAUGGGAUUUGGCGAAGGAAGUGAAAAUCAGACCGCUGGAGGAGAACCUAUAUACGCUGCAGUUCUCGUGCCUCGGUGAUUGGGAACGUGUUAUGGAAGAGGGCCCGUGGACUUUCAAAUGGAAAGCGGUGGUCUUGGCCCCCUAUGAUGGUUUCACUAAACCCUCGACGAUAGAUUUCACCAAGCUAGACAUAUGGAUGCAAAUUCACGAUCUCCCAGAUGGUUUCUUCCCCAAGAUUAUGGCACUUUCGGCAACAGUUGCUGAGUUCAUCUAUGCUGAGCCCAAGUCCAAGAUUUUGAGGGGAACUUUGCCCGUGUCAGGGUAA
rnacentral:rRNA from 1 species